rnacentral:rRNA from 1 species
CGAGGGGCAUCGGGAGGGAAGCUUGCUUUCCUUGCCGGCGACCGGCGCACGGGUGAGUAACACGUAUGCAACCUGCCCUCUUCAGGGGGACAACCUUCCGAAAGGGAGGCUAAUCCCGCGUAUAUCGGUUUCGGGCAUCCGAGAUCGAGGAAAGAUUCAUCGGAAGAGGAUGGGCAUGCGGCGCAUUAGCUUGACGGCGGGGUAACGGCCCACCGUGGCGACGAUGCGUAGGGGUUCUGAGAGGAAGGUCCCCCACACUGGUACUGAGACACGGACCAGACUCCUACGGGAGGCAGCAGUGAGGAAUAUUGGUCAAUGGGAGAGAUCCUGAACCAGCCAAGCCGCGUGAGGGAAGACGGCCCUAUGGGUUGUAAACCUCUUUUGUCGGAGAACAAAACCCGGGACGUGUCCCGGACUGCGUGUAUCCGAAGAAAAAGCAUCGGCUAACUCCGUGCCAGCAGCCGCGGUAAUACGGAGGAUGCGAGCGUUAUCCGGAUUUAUUGGGUUUAAAGGGUGCGUAGGCGGUCCGUUAAGUCAGCGGUAAAAUUGCGGGGCUCAACCCCGUCGAGCCGUUGAAACUGGCAGACUUGAGUUGGCGAAAAUUACGCGGAAUGCGCGGUGUAGCGGUGAAAUGCAUAGAUUUCGGGGCGAGACUCCUGUUGGCGAAGGCGGGGUCCGGCGCCCAGAUUGACGCUGAGGCAGGAAGGCGUGGGGAUUGAACGGGAUUAGUUACCCUGGUAGUCCACGCAGUAAAACGAUGAAUGCUGGUUGUCCGGGUCGAAUGAGAUCUGGGCGGGGAAGCGAAAGCGAUAAGCAUUCCACCUGGGGAGUACGCCGGCAACGGUGAAACUCAAAGGAAUUGACGGGGGCCCGCACAAGCGGAGGAACAUGUGGUUUAAUUCGAUGAUACGCGAGGAACCUUACCCGGGCUCAAACGGGAGCGGAAUGGACCAGAGACGGUUCAGCCUACGGGCCGCUUCCGAGGUGCUGCAUGGUUGUCGUCAGCUCGUGCCGUGAGGUGUCGGCUUAAGUGCCAUAACGAGCGCAACCCCCGCCGGCAGUUGCUAACGGGCAAUGCCGAGGACUCUGCCGGGACUGCCGCCGCAAGGCGUGAGGAAGGCGGGGAUGACGUCAAAUCAGCACGGCCCUUACGUCCGGGGCGACACACGUGUUACAAUGGGCGGUACAGCGGGAAGCCAGGCGGCGACGCCGAGCGGAACCCGAAAGCCGUUCUCAGUUCGGAUCGGAGUCUGCAACCCGACUCCGUGAAGCUGGAUUCGCUAGUAAUC